UUGACCUCGGAUCGGAGGAUCAAACCCGCUGAACUUAAGCAUAUCA
rnacentral:rRNA from 1 species